GAUUUGGAUGCCAAGGAAUGAAAGAAAUGAAUAAUGCUGGUUAAACAAUGUGGUAGCCAGGAAGAUGAUUGGACAGUUGCCUGAAAAACUUGGUUGUAGAAGAAAGGAAUCAUCAGCAUGUCUUCACUGCCCAAUCACUUCUCAUUCCCUCUGGAAAUGUCACUAGGUCUGCCUUUCAAAAACUGGAGAGCAUGUGAGGAUUAUAAUUCCAUGUAGGGGCUAUGCAGUUAGGAAGAAGUGGUGAUACCUGCCAGAGCUGGGGGAAACUGCUGGCCUUUAAUCUAAAAAUCUGCCUCCUGGGAGCCUCUUGUGACAGGUCCUCUUUUCUUCGUUUUCAAAUGAAGAAGCUGAAGCUUAGAGAAUGAGGCUCAGAGUGCUGGGAGGAGACCAUUUGGCAAGGGGGAAGGCUUUGGAGCUUCCUCCCAUCGAAGGCUAUGUGACAUGAGAAAUAAGCCAGGGUUCCUGGCCUUUUUUAUUUGUUCUUGCCUCUUUCGCUCCUGUCUCAAUCUUCUUCAGGCUACCUUCCAGAUUCUCUACGAAGCUUCUGCAGCAGGGAUUGGAACGGGAGAUAGGGGCAAUCAGUAAUGAUGCCAGGAAAAAAAGAAGACCAUUGAAGUAUUUAAAAGAAAAUGUGCAGAACAGAAGGAAGUUCAGAAGGAAACAUGGGUGCCAGGGCAAUUUUGAAAAUAACUUAGAAUUUAUUUUACAUAUAUAUUUUUUAAAUUUUACAUAUAUUUAAAAAAACCAAGCAAUAUGAAAUUGAGAUUUUCCAUUUCAUAUACAUAGUUUUCUGAGCUACUCUACUUUUCAUAUGUAAAUGUUCUUUUUUUCUGGCAUCUGUUAAUUGCCGAAUGACACAUCAUUAAGAAGUAGAAUUCUGUUUGCUUCUAUUCCCAUGUUUUCCAAAAAUAUUACUAAGGUUUCUAAAAACAUAAUUAAUAAAUAGUUUCUGAAACGUAUCA
rnacentral:lncRNA from 1 species